UCCUCCAUAGCUCAGUUGGUAGAGCGCGUCACUAGUAUCUUGCUAUGAAAAAUGACGAGGUCAGUCGUUCGAGUCGGCUUGGAGGAA